GAUGAACGCUAGCGGCAGGCCUAACACAUGCAAGUCGAGGGGUAGCAGGAUUAAGCUUGCUUAAUUGCUGACGACCGGCUCACGGGUGCGUAACGCGUAUGCAACCUACCUUAUACUGGGGUAUAGCCCGGAGAAAUUCGGAUUAAUCCCCCAUAUUACUAAUGAAACGCAUGGUUUAUUAGUUAAAGCAUUGCGGUAUAAGAUGGGCAUGCGUCCUAUUAGCUAGAUGGUGAGGUAACGGCUCACCAUGGCUACGAUAGGUAGGGGGCCUGAGAGGGUGGUCCCCCACACUGGUACUGAGACACGGACCAGACUCCUACGGGAGGCAGCAGUGAGGAAUAUUGGUCAAUGGGCGCAAGCCUGAACCAGCCAUGCCGCGUGCAGGAAGAAUGCCCUAUGGGUUGUAAACUGCUUUUAUUUGGGAAUAAACCUCUUUACGUGUAGAGAGCUGAAGGUACCAAAUGAAUAAGCACCGGCCAACUCCGUGCCAGCCGCCGCCGUAA
rnacentral:rRNA from 1 species